rnacentral:rRNA from 1 species
UACAGGGGGUGCAAACGUUUGCUCGGAAUUAUUGGGCGUAAAGCGCGCGUAGGCGGCUACUUAAGUCGGAUGUGAAAGCCCUUGGCUCAACUGAGGAAGUGCACCCGAAACUGAGUGGCUUGAGUACUAAAGAGGGUCGCGGAAUUCCCGGUGUAGAGGUGAAAUUCGUAGAUAUUCGGAAGAACACCAGUGGCGAAGGCGACUCACUGGACACGUAUUGACGCUGAGGUGCGAAAGCGUGGGGAGCAAACAGGG